rnacentral:rRNA from 1 species
UACAGAGGUCUCAACCGUUGUUCGGAUUCAUUGGGCGUAAAGGGUGCGUAGGCGGCGGGGUAAGUCAGGUGUGAAAGCUCGGGGCUCAACCCCGAAACUGCACUUGAUACUGCCUCGCUUGAGUACUGGAGAGGAGACUGGAAUUUACGGUGUAGCAGUGAAAUGCGUAGAUAUCGUAAGGAAGACCAGUGGCGAAGGCGAGUCUCUGGACAGUUACUGACGCUGAGGCACGAAGGCCAGGGGAGCAAACGGG